UGAAGAAAGGAAACAGUUAAUACAGCUACGAGAUAUUUUAAAAUCAGCACUCCAGGUUGAACAAAAAGAGGAUUCACAAAUUCGGCAAAGUACAACCUAUAGUUUACACCAACCUCAGGGAAAUAAAGAACAUGGGACUGAAAGGAAUGGUAAUCUCUACAAGAAAAGUGAUGGGAUCAGAAAAGUAUGGCAAAAAAGGAAAUGCUCAGUUAAAAACGGUUUUCUGACAAUAUCCCAUGGUACAG